rnacentral:rRNA from 1 species
UACCUACGGGGGGCUGCAGUAGGGAAUAUUGGUUAAUGUGCGAAAGCGCGAACCAGCAACGCCGCGUGUGCGAUGAAGGCCUUCGGGUCGUAAAGCACUUUUUGCAGGGAAGAGGAAGGACGGUACCUGCAGAAUAAGUCUCGGCUAACUACGUGCCAGCAGCCGCGGUAAAACGUAGGAGACGAGCGUUAUCCGGAUUUACUGGGCGGAAAGCGCGUGCAGGCGGCAUGGAAAGUGGGAUGUGAAAGCUCCCGGCUUAACUGGGAGAGGUCGUUGAAUACUGCCAGGCUUGAGAGUUGUAGAGGGAAGCGGAAUUCCGGUUGUAGUGGUGAAAUGCGUAGAUAUCCGGAGGAACACCAGUGGCGAAAGCGGCUUCCUGGCCCAUUUCUGACGCUCAGACGCGAAAGCUAGGGUAGCAAACGGGAUUAGAUACCCCAGUAGUCU